rnacentral:rRNA from 1 species
UACGUAGGGAGCGAGCGUUGUCCGGAUUUACUGGGUGUAAAGGGUGCGUAGGCGGCUAUGCAAGUCAGUAGUGAAAUCCAUGGGCUUAACCCAUGAACUGCUAUUGAAACUGCACAGCUUGAGUGAAGUAGAGGUAGGCGGAAUUCCCGGUGUAGCGGUGAAAUGCGUAGAGAUCGGGGGGAACACCAGUGGCGAAGGCGGCCUACUGGGCUUUAACUGACGCUGAGGCACGAAAGCGUGGGUAGCAAACAGG